CCAAUAGCGUAUAUUAAAGUUGUUGCAGUUAAAAAGCUCGUAGUUGAAUUUCGGGGUUAGUAGGUUGGUCCUGCCUCUGGUAUGUACUGGUCUCACUGAUUCCUCCUUCCUGAUGAUCCGUAAUGCCAUUUAUUUGGUGUUGCGGGGAAUUUGGACUGUUACUUUGAAAAAAUUAGAGUGUUUAAAGCAAGCUAACGCUUGAAUACAUUAGCAUGGAAUAAUGAAAUAGUACGUUCGAUCCUAUUUUGUUGGUUUCUAGGAUUGACGUAAUGAUUAAUAGGGAUAGUUGGGGGCAUUAGUAUCCAAUUGUCAGAGGUGAAAUUCUUGGAUUUAUUGAAGACUAACUACUGCGAAAGCAUUUGCCAAGGAUGUUUUCAUUAAUCAAGAACGAAAGUUAGGGGAUCGAAGACGAUCAGAUACCGUCGUAGUCUUAACCAUAAACUAUGCCGACUAGGGAUCGGAUGAUGUUAAUUUUUUAAUGACUCAUUCGGCGCCUUACG
rnacentral:rRNA from 1 species